rnacentral:rRNA from 1 species
GGUACCGGAAGAAGAAGCACCGGCUAACUACGUGCCAGCAGCCGCGGUAAUACGUAGGGUGCAGGCGUUAAUCGGAAUUACUGGGCGUAAAGCGUGCGCAGGCGGCUUCCUAAGUCAGAUGUGAAAUCCCCGGGCUCAACCUGGGAACUGCGUUUGAAACUGGGAGGCUAGAGUGCGGCAGAGGGGAGGUGGAAUUCCACGUGUAGCAGUGAAAUGCGUAGAUAUGUGGAGGAACACCGAUGGCGAAGGCAGCCUCCUGGGCCAGCACUGACGCUCAUGCACGAAAGCGUGGGGAGCAAACAGGAUUAGAUACCCUGGUAGUCCACGCCCUAAACUAUGUCGACUAGUUGUUGGGGGAGUCUGUCCCUCAGUAACGUAGCUAACGCGUGAAGUCGACCGCCUGGGGAGUACGGUCGCAAGAUUAAAACUCAAAGGAAUUGACGGG